AGGCAGCUGUUUGGCCUGCGGCCGGAGCCGAGGAAACGACGUGGGCCGACCAGAAGUGUCUUGAGCAGCUGGGUGCGCUGCCCUGUGGCGCGUCGCGAAGAUUUCGCUUGUUUGCUGAUGGCAAUGAUCCAGAAGAGAAGGAGACAUUGAUGAUGCAAGAGAGAAGAACUUGAAUGGCAAUGAGAACAAUGAGAGGGUCACCAUACUGGAGAUCUGUGGCUUUAGAACAUGGCCCCCAAUUCCUUGACACUCCUACUGAGAGGUGGGUCUAUGACCUCUCUCUUGAAUCUGGAGGGUCUUGGGACUACUUUGACCAAUAGGUAUGAAGGUCAUAUAGCAGAAGUGAUGCCAUAUGACUUUCAAAGCUAUAUCAUAAAAGGCCAUGCAGCUUCUGCCUGGCCCUCCUAGGAUACUCACUCUGGAGGAAGCCAGCCAUCUUGUAAAAAGUCCAGUUACCCUGAGACUAUACCAUGCCAGAGAGGCCAGGUGUAGGUGCUGGUUGACAGCCCCAGCUGAGCUCUCAGUCAAUAGUCAGUAUCAACUGCCAGCCUUGUGAGUGAGCCAUCUUGGACAUCCAGGCCAGCUGAUCUCUGACAGUAACCACACCACACCAAAAGCCCCAGACAAGGACUUUUAAAUCCCAAAUUUAUGACUGCAAAACUGUAAGCAGAAUAAAAUGCUUUUUAAAAAAUC